CCUACGGGUAGCAGCAGUGGGGAAUAUUGGACAAUGGGCGAAAGCCUGAUCCAGCCAUGCCGCGUGUGUGAAGAAGGCCUUCGGGUUGUAAAGCACUUUCAGUGGGGAAGAAAGCCUUGGGGCUAAUACCCUCGAGGAAGGACAUCACCCACAGAAGAAGCACCGGCUAACUCCGUGCCAGCAGCCGCGGUAAUACGGAGGGUGCGAGCGUUAAUCGGAAGUACUGGGCGUAAAGCGCGCGUAGGCGGUCUGAUAAGCCGGUUGUGAAAGCCCCGGGCUCAACCUGGGAACGGCAUCCGGACCUGUCAGGCUAGAGUGCAGGAGAGGAAGGUAGAAUUCCCGGUGUAGCGGUGAAAUGCGUAGAGAUCGGGAGGAAUACCAGUGGCGAAGGCGGCCUUCUGGACUGACACUGACGCUGAGGUGCGAAAGCGUGGGUAGCAAACAGGAUUAGAUACCCUAGUAGUC
rnacentral:rRNA from 1 species